AUUCGCCGUCGCCGCCAAGCGCCAUUUUUUAGAAAAAAAUUUUGACGUCCUUUUCUUCUCGUCUUUGCCGACGAGGGCGCCCUCGUCGCCAGGCCGAGAGGCCUCCCACAGAGAGAUUGCGUCGCCAAAAAGGGGGAGUUCCCGUCCGCCCGCCACAUUGGCGAUGGCGCCGAGAGCAGACGAAAAGAAAAAGAAAAAGUUGCGGAAAAUCGCAAGGGAAACAUGGGAGAAAAUGCGCACUGCCCAAUGGCCGCAGGCCAUCGCUCCCCUGACGACCGCAAAGCCUACCGAAAAAAAAAAUACAGACCACCAACGACUGUGGCGAUGACGACGCACAGACACACGACAAGUUUUGUCGCCACCCUCCAAAAUUGUGCCCCCACAACAACGAGGCCGCCCCGCCGCUCGCGCGCACGCACACAACCCGACCCCCUCGCAGAAUUUUCCAAAGAACCUGGAUAUAUCCACAAAAAAUCCCGGAUAAAACCUGCCUUUUCAUACCCUAAAAUCCCGGAUAAAACCCUGUUCCUAAAAAAAUCUUGGCCCAACAAGCCCCCGAGCCGCCUAUGUCGCGCGCGUAUGCCGCACUGACCCCAAAAAGCGCAAACCUCCCAAAAACCGACAACAACCGCUGAUCCUGCCUUGGCGCCGACCGGCCGACAUGCAAAAAGAACAAGCCCACUGACUGCUCGAUCGCGACGACGACGACGACGACGACAAGGACCGAGACCUUGACGGCGGCACCAAAGACGGCAAAAAAAAAGAAAAAGACGGCACACCAAAAAAUACGCCUUUUCCUGCCCCCUCUUAUCCCGGUUUUUCAAUCUGUAAAUAUCUUGAUUUAUCCCGGUUUUUUCCUACAUAUAUCCUGGCACCUCUGAAAAUUUCACAGGGCCGAGUUGGGUGUUGUUGGCGUGCGC
rnacentral:lncRNA from 1 species